GACAGAGGGUGCAAACGUUGUUCGGAAUUACUGGGCGUAAAGCGCGUGUAGGCGGCUUGGCAAGUCGGGUGUGAAAGCCCUGGGCUCAACCUAGGAAGUGCACUCGAAACUGCUUCGCUUGAGUGCCGGAGAGGAAAGCGGAAUUCUCGGUGUAGAGGUGAAAUUCGUAGAUAUCGAGAGGAACAUCGGUGGCGAAGGCGGCUUUCUGGACGGUAACUGACGCUGAGACGCGAAAGCGUGGGGAGCGAACAGG
rnacentral:rRNA from 1 species